AAGCCACCCACUGAAUACUACUUUGCAAACAAGAGUAAAAUCAAAUCAAAUAAAAAUAGGUAUCCAGCCAAGCAAAAGCCGGACCAGCCAGCUCUUGUGUUGUCCCAUGAAGAUAGUGUUUCUCAUUCACGUCCAGAAUAGAUUUCAACAUAAAGAGAAAAAAAACGCCAGACGAGGAAGAUGAAGAGGGAAAUAUUACCUGGGAAGUUGGGGGUGUGUAUGCAUGAAUGGAAGACAAAAGGAACAAAAAAAUAUAAGGACGUGGUUCGGCGGGGUAUCGAUAGCAACACACAAAAAAGGGCGAGAAAGAAUAGGAAUAGGUAAAAAGAUGCACCCUGUAUCCAAGUAAAGAAAAAUCCCGAUAGAAAUAAAAGAUAAAAAGGUCAUGUGAAAAUAUAUGGGAACGGAGGGGCCUGGACAAGAAAAGAAAUGAAAAAAGAAGACCAACUACCAAAAGCUUCCCACGAUAACAACUGCUUGCAGCAACGAACAAAGUGAAGAAACGAGCAAGAAGUUCAUGUAAAGUCACAGCAUUAUGACACGGUGUUUAGAAACUCUCUGGUGAGUACGACCGGGGGUAUCAGGAAUUCAAUUAGCAUUAACAUCAAAACAGACAGACCAAAAAGAAACCAUAUUGAAAUAAAAGAAAAUUGAAAACUUUGAAGGGGUAGAAUAGAGAGCAAAAAAGUAUAAAAGUAUAAAAUAUACCCAGACACGGUAACCGACCAGCUUUAUCCAUGGGCAAAAUAACGUACUCAAAAGCUAAAACGUCCUACUUCCAAAGGAAGUAACAGCGAGCGGAGCAUUGUAGGUUGGGGUGGAGAGGAGGAUAGAAGCAAAGGGGGUGUGGGAUGUGGUGAAGCUGGGACAUUUGGUGAGGUGGG
rnacentral:sRNA from 1 species